UAAAAUUUAAAAUUUGACAAUUCAAAAUUUUAAAUUAAAAUUUUUAAAUAAAGUACUGAAAGGGUUUCGGGUGUUAGAAGGGUAAAAUUAUUUUUUUACACAAUAUGUAGUAUUACCGGAUUUUAGUAAUGCAUGAUACACGACCCUCUCUCGUUAAUAUUUUCGAUAUAAUCCUACUCGAUUUGUAAUGCUACAUUAACGGCUAGAUUACAUAGCGGAUUAACCAAACACAGUAAUUCUGACAGGAUUGCCUGUAAUCCUGCCAGGAUAACUCGAACCAAACGCACCCUUAGUGUAAUACUUCAAGCACCCUAAAACGCUAUCUAUUCUCAAAAACCCAUAACCUCCAACAAUCUUGAAGUAUUAUGAUCG
rnacentral:lncRNA from 1 species